CCUCUACUGCCUUCCAGAGGAGAGAAAACAAGCAGAGAGGCGCGAGCAAAUAAGCCGUAUGCAAAUAUCCGCCGGAACUCCCCGCGAGUCCUGGGGCUGGCGCGCCCCCCGGAGGCCACCUGGGAACUCAGCCCGGAUCCCGCUCCGUGCAACCUUGGCGAUUCUGUUCCACCUCCACUGUCCCCAGUCACGACCUCCGAGGCCGGCCGGGGUCACCCCCGUGGUUAUCUCUACAUCCAACAUCUCCAGCCCCCCACCCCGUACUGAUGACUGACCCUAGGGCUUUCACACUGACCUACCUCCUCAAAUCCCCAACCCAUCUAAUUUGAGACAGGGUCUAGCUAAAUCACUAAGCUGCACAGGCUGGCCUGGACCUUGCGAUCCUCCUGCCUCAGCCUCUCAGAGUGCUGGGAUUACAGGAUUGUGCCACCACCACACCUCCCACGGGCCUGCUCACACCCUACUCCGUGCCUCUCCUACCCAGGAACGGCAUGUCUGCCCUCCGCACGGGUUCUCUCCUCUAGGGGCAGCCAAACCCUUCCGGGACUCCUCCCGACAGCAGUCCUUACCCCAGCUGAAGUCAAGCUCACAGCCCCCACAGCAGGUACAUUCAUUCCACAGUCACUCUCUGGCCUCCUCCCAGUCUGUGUUCUUGUUUUUUUUUUUUGUUUUUUUUUUUUGGUAUCGGGGAUCAAACUCAGGACCUUGUGCUUGCCCGGCAGGUGCAGUGCCACUGAGCUAUGUCCCUGGCCCUUCUCAGUCCGUUUUGGGAAGGAAGCACUGGCCACAUCCCUGACCCAUAAUCACUAGCUAAGUCUGUGGGGCUCCAGGACUCUACGCAUUGGCCACAGGUACCCUCCGUGGCCACCAGCUGGCCCUCCCAAGGUUCCGCUGUCCCACCUCACCCAGGCAACUCCUCCAGCUCACCUGCCCCUAAACCUCACCAGUCCCACCUCAGCCAGGAAAGCCGGGCAAGGUGUGCUACUCCCACACGGGAGUCGGCCCUGUCCCACCACAGGCCAAGGGCAGAAAUCCCCAAGGCGGGCUCACAUUACUGGGUUAGGGGUCUUCCCCUCUCUUGUGGCCCCCAAACCCACUGUUGGUACACUUUUUUUUUGGUACCGGGGAUUGAACUCGGGUCCUUGAGCUUGUGCAGCAGGUGGCGAAACCACUGAGCUAAAUCCCCGGCCCCUAAAACCCACUGUUUUAGUGAAACCUUGCAGGAAAAUCCAAACCGAUUUUGAGCCCCCCACUAGCCACUUGGAGACCUCAACCCAGGCUGGCCUCACCCUCUCAGGGAGCCCCUGUCCCCCAACCAACCCCAGUGGACCUUGGCACUGCCUGCAGCACAUUGAUAGAGUCCUGGCAUGUGGUACCCAGGGCAGGGUCUGAGUUUUUAUCUCUCAGGGCGGAGGUCAGCCUAGAGUGGAGAAAGGAAGGACCUGGUAUGUGAAGCCCAGCACAGCACAAGCACAUUUUUCCAUCUGUCUCCGACUGCCGGAUAAAGUGCCAGGGACCAGGCCCAGGCAAUGCCCAGCAGCCCACACACCCACACAAUGCUAUGUACUGCUGCCACAUGCAGCCCUGGGCGUCCUGGGUGAGCUCCAUAGGAGUCCAGGAAACAGUGUGGGAGAGCUGAGUUUGAGUGGCAGUGGGAGCCCUUGGGAAAGGCUACUGCAGCUAUUUUAGGAUCUUCAGGCAGAAUCAUUCGGCCUUGACCAGCCCACGCAUGCUUAUGCCCCAGAACGAACGGGAUACUCCAGGCCAGGAGCCAGCCCCUUGGACUCAGGGCUCACACCCCAGCAACAUGCGAUGGCUAACUGCCAUACACUGGGCAUCCCAGCUCUAAGUGUGCACAUAGGCACACUUGCUGAAUGUCUAUGCCACUGGGUGUCACACGCACCCUAACCCAAUCCCACCUCCAGGCGCACAGCGAGGUGUGUGUGACCCCAUCCAUCCCUCAGUGUGAACAUCCGGCUGUGCGCGGGAACCUGGGGGUGGGCCCGGAGGGAAGGGAGAG
ensembl:lncRNA